UAAUAAACUUCUUAACAUAUUAUUCUUCGAAUAAUUCUACUAUAAAGUAACUAAUAUGAAUUUAUUUUAUCAUAUCAUGAUUGUUGGGAAUUAUGAAAUUAGCUAUUCAUAAUCAUAAAUAGAUAUACCUGUUCGGGUAGCUUUGAUAUUUCUGAGUUUUGUUGCUCCAUAGCUUUUUCCAUUGAAAUAUGUUUAUCUAAUUAACUGAGUAAAAUAUUUUUUGUGGAGUGG
rnacentral:lncRNA from 1 species